rnacentral:rRNA from 1 species
UACGAAGGGGGCUAGCGUUGCUCGGAAUCACUGGGCGUAAAGCGCACGUAGGCGGGUCGUUAAGUCAGGGGUGAAAUCCUGGAGCUCAACUCCAGAACUGCCUUUGAUACUGGCGAUCUCGAGUUCGGGAGAGGUGAGUGGAACUGCAAGUGUAGAGGUGAAAUUCGUAGAUAUUCGCAAGAACACCAGUGGCGAAGGCGGCUCACUGGCCCGAUACUGACGCUGAGGUGCGAAAGCGUGGGGAGCAAACAGG